rnacentral:rRNA from 1 species
UGCCAGCCGCCGCGGUAAUACGGAGGGUGCAAGCGUUAUCCGGAAUUACUGGGUUUAAAGGGUGCGUAGGCGGGUAAAUAAGUCAGAGGUGAAAUCUACCAGCUUAACUGGAAAAUUGCCUUUGAAACUGUUUAUCUUGAAUUGAGUUGAGGUCAGCGGAAUGUGACAUGUAGCGGUGAAAUGCAUAGAUAUGUCAUAGAACGUCGAUUGCGAAGGCAGCUGGCUAGGCUUUUAUUGACGCUGAGGCACGAAAGCGUGGGGAGCGAACAGGAUUAGAUA